rnacentral:rRNA from 1 species
UACGUAGGAUCCAAGCGUUGUCCGGAUUUACUGGGUGUAAAGGGUGCGCAGGCGGACUUGUUAGUCAGAGGUGAAAUCUCACUGCUCAACAGUGAAACUGCCUUUGAUACUGCAGGUCUUGAAUCCAGAAGAGAGUUGUGGAAUUCCGAGUGUAGCAGUGAAAUGUGUAGAUAUUCGGAAGAACACCAGCGGCGAAGGCAGCAACUUGGUCUGGUAUUGACGCUCAGGCACGAAAAGCAUGGGGAUCAAACAGG